rnacentral:misc_RNA from 1 species
GGAAUAACACAUCACCCCACCCUAACACUGAUGCACUCCCAUGGCCUCACUUUUGAACCAAAUCUUAACCUGUGAAUACCCAUUGCUGGUGGAAGUGAACUUGCCGCUAUGACCUCUUUACAUAUGCUGCAUUGUGUUAAAUCUGAAGAUAUAUUGGUACUUUUGUUUAACACCAUACACGUGGCUCAAAUCUCACUACCAAGACCUCAUUUGGUUCUGAUGCAAUAACAGCCAAAGUGCAGCGAGAUUGGAGUUUAUGAAGGCUUUCAUGACCAGUGAAUUGUUGUUCAUCCCCAAGUUCGUUGACAGUGUACAAUAAACAAAAAUGAAAGGAAUGAAAGUGAGAGCUUUUGCUAAAAUGGAUGAAAUUUUUAAAGAGAGAGCCAAGUGAUGACGAGAGAGAAUUUGUUAGACAAGAUGAGAGAGAAAGUUGAAAGUGUCAAGGGAAAAAAACUCACAUAACAAGAGAUGUUCUCAA